rnacentral:rRNA from 1 species
AUUGAACGCUGGCGGCAGGCUUAACACAUGCAAGUCGAACGAGUGGCGGACGGGUGAGUAAUGCUUGGGAAUCUGGCUUAUGGAGGGGGAUAACGACGGGAAACUGUCGCUAAUACCGCGUACCAUAGGAUGAGCCCACGUGGGAUUAGGUAGUUGGUGGGGUAAUGGCCUACCAAGCCGACGAUCCCUAGCUGGUCUGAGAGGAUGACCAGCCACACUGGGACUGAGACACGGCCCAGACUCCUACGGGAGGCAGCAGUGGGGAAUAUUGGGCAAUGGGGGCAACUCUGACGCAGCCACGCCGCGUGAAUGAAGAAGGCUUUCGGGUUGUAAAGUUCUUUCGGUGGCGAGGCGUUAUCCAAAGAAGAAGCAACGGCUAACUCCGUGCCAGCAGCCGCGGUAAUUC